rnacentral:rRNA from 1 species
ACGGGGUGCAGCAGGCGCGAAAACUUCGCAAUGUGGGCAACCACGACGAGGGAACUCCCAGUGCGUGCGCUUUGCGUACGCUGUUCACUUGUCUAAAAAACAGGAGAAGUAAGGGCCGGGUAAGACGGGUGCCAGCCGCCGCGGUAAUACCCGCGGCCCGAGUGGUGGUCGAUAUUAUUGAGCCUAAAACGUCCGUAGCCGGUCUCGUAAAUCCUUGGGUAAAUCGGCCAGCUUAACUGUCCGAAGUCCGAGGAGACUGUGAGACUUGGGAUCGGGAGAGGUCAGAGGUACUUCUGGGGUAGGGGUAAAAUCCUGUAAUCCUGGAAGGACCACCGGUGGCGAAGGCGUCUGACUAGAACGAAUUCGACGGUGAGGGACGAAGCCCUGGGGCGCAAACGGGAUUAGAUACCCCGGUAGUCCAGGGUGUAAACGCUGCGGGCUUGGUGUUGGGGGUCCUUUGUGGGCGCCCAGUGCCGGAGAGAAGUUGUUAAGCCUGCUGCUUGGGGAGUACGUCCGCAAGGAUGAAACUUAAAGGAAUUGGCGGGGGAGCAC